rnacentral:rRNA from 1 species
UACGAAGGGGGCUAGCGUUGUUCGGAUUUACUGGGCGUAAAGGGCGCGUAGGCGGCCGCCUAAGUCAGACGUGAAAUCCCUCGGCUCAACCGGGGAACUGCGUCUGAUACUGGGUGGCUUGAAUUCGGGAGAGGGAUGCGGAAUUCCAGGUGUAGCGGUGAAAUGCGUAGAUAUCAGGAGGAACACCGGUGGCGAAGGCAGGUCUCUGGGCCACUACUGACGCUGAGAAGCGAAAGCAUGGGGAGCGAACAGG